AAUUCUCAAUCCCAGAAAGGGUUUAUAUAAUCUCAGCUGGGCUUGGAUAUGGGGGUUUUGCCGGCUUUGUAAAGAGUCAGCUCUCCUGAAAAACAUUAGCAAGACUGUUAUUGCAACCUUGUAUUUGGUGUGAUAAUUAUCUACAUCAUAGAUUGUGUGCAUGUGCAUGUCUGGCUUCUAACAGUCCAUUGAAUUGGACAAAACUCUGACA
rnacentral:misc_RNA from 1 species